rnacentral:rRNA from 1 species
CCAGCAGCCGCGGUAAUACAGAGGUCUCAAGCGUUGUUCGGAUUCAUUGGGCGUAAAGGGUGCGUAGGUGGCGGGGCAAGUCUGGUGUGAAAUCUCGGGGCUCAACCCCGAAACUGCACUGGAUACUGCCUUGCUCGAGUACUGGAGAGGAGAUUGGAAUUUACGGUGUAGCAGUGAAAUGCGUAGAUAUCGUAAGGAAGACCAGUGGCGAAGGCGAAUCUCUGGACAGUUACUGACACUGAGGCACGAAGGCCAGGGGAGCAAACGGGAUUAGAUACCCCGGUAGUCCUGGCAGUAAACGGUGCGCGUUUGGUGUGGGAGGAUUCGACCCCUUCUGUGCCGGAGCUAACGCGUUAAACGCGCCGCCUGGGGAGUACGGUCGCAAGAUUAAAACUCAAAGAAAUUGACGGGGGCCCGCACAAGCGGUGGAGUAUGUGGCUUAAUUCGAUGCAACGCGAAGAACCUUACCUAGCCUUGACAUGCAUCUCUAAGUCGGUGAAAGCCGGCGACUGGAGCAAUCCAGAAUUUGCACAGGUGCUGCAUGGCUGUCGUCAGCUCGUGUCGUGAGAUGUUGGGUUAAGUCCCGCAACGAGCGCGACCCCUGUGAACUGUUGCCACCCUCUUGAUUGAGGAGCACUCUGUUCAGACUGCCCUGUGAAACGGGGAGGAAGGUGGGGAUGACGUCAAGUCAGCAUGGCCCUUACGGCCAGGGCUGCACACGUACUACAAUGCUCAGUACAGAACGAACCGAGACCGCGAGGUGGAGGAAAUCCCUAAAACUGAGCCCAAUUCGGAUCGCAGGCUGCAACUCGCCUGCGUGAAGCCGGAAUCGCUAGUAAUGGCGUAUCAGCUACGACGCCGUGAAUACGUUCCCGGGCCUUGUACACACCGCCCGUCACAUCAUGGAAGUUACUUGUACCCGAAGUGCAUGCGCCAACCGCAAGGAGGCAGUGCCCUAAGGUAUGAGUGGUAACUGGGAUGAAGUCGUAACAAGGUAACCAA